rnacentral:rRNA from 1 species
AUUGAACGCUGGCGGCAUGCUUUACACAUGCAAGUCGAACGGCAGCGCGGGCUUCGGCCCGGCGGCGAGUGGCGAACGGGUGAGUAAUACAUCGGAACGUGCCCAGUAGUGGGGGAUAGCUCGGCGAAAGCCGGAUUAAUACCGCAUACGACCUGAGGGUGAAAGCGGGGGAUCUUCGGACCUCGCGCUAUUGGAGCGGCCGAUGGCAGAUUAGCUAGUUGGUGGGGUAAAGGCCUACCAAGGCGACGAUCUGUAGCUGGUCUGAGAGGACGACCAGCCACACUGGGACUGAGACACGGCCCAGACUCCUACGGGAGGCAGCAGUGGGGAAUUUUGGACAAUGGGCGAAAGCCUGAUCCAGCAAUGCCGCGUGUGUGAUGAAGGCCUUCGGGUUGUAAAGCACUUUUGGCGGGAACGAAAAGGACUGUGCCAAUACCACGGUUCGAUGACGGUACCCGCAGAAUAAGCACCGGCUAACUACGUG